rnacentral:tRNA from 1 species
GGGAAAGUGGCUCAGUGGUAGAGUGCUUGCCUUGCAUGCAUGAAACCCUGGGUUCGAUUCCUCAGCACCA